GAAAUGCGAUAAGUAAUGUGAAUUGCAGAAUUCAGUGAAUCAUCGAAUCUUUGAACGCACAUUGCGCCCGCUAGUAUUCUGGCGGGCAUGCCUGUCCGAGCGUCAUUUCAACCCUCGAGAUCCCCCUUUGCGGGGGGAGAUCGGUGUUGGGGAACGACCGUCCCUCGUGGCGGUCGUCCCCUAAAUAGAGUGGCGGUAUCGCUGUAGCCUCCUCUGCGCAGUAGCUUGUAUUCUCGCAGGACGGAGAGCGGCGCGGCCACGCCGUGAAACCCCCCAAACUUUCAAGGUUGACCUCGGAUCAGGUAGGAAUACCCGCUGAACUUAA
rnacentral:misc_RNA from 1 species